rfam:Zootermopsis nevadensis contig18818, whole genome shotgun sequence.
CACGGUGGUCUAGCGGUUAGAACGCUGGUCUUGUAAUCCUGGGGUCUCGGGUUCGAUUCCCGGCGGUG